rnacentral:rRNA from 1 species
AUUGAACGCUGGCGGCAGGCCUAACACAUGCAAGUCGAACGGUAACAGGAAGAAGCUUGCUUCUUUGCUGACGAGUGGCGGACGGGUGAGUAAUGUCUGGGAAACUGCCUGAUGGAGGGGGAUAACUACUGGAAACGGUAGCUAAUACCGCAUAACGUCGCAAGACCAAAGAGGGGGACCUUCGGGCCUCUUGCCAUCGGAUGUGCCCAGAUGGGAUUAGCUAGUAGGUGGGGUAACGGCUCACCUAGGCGACGAUCCCUAGCUGGUCUGAGGGGAUGACCAGCCACACUGGAACUGAGACACGGUCCAGCCUCCUACGGGAGGCAGCAGUGGGGAAUAUUGCACAAUGGGCGCAAGCCUGAUGCAGCCAUGCCGCGUGUAUGAAGAAGGCCUUCGGGUUGUAAAGUACUUUCAGCGGGGAGGAAGGGAGUAAAGUUAAUACCUUUGCUCAUUGACGUUACCCGCAGAAGAAGCACCGGCUAACUCCGUG